rnacentral:lncRNA from 1 species
ACUUACCCAUGAUCAUGUGAGCACAGCCAGGACCCCACCCACCCGGCCCCCCCCAGUCAGCCUAGGUUGUCUCUGGCCACCCCGGGGUGGGCUGGGGGGGAGGCGGGCAGGUUGUACCUGAUGUGAGGGAGUCAUGAGUCUUGAUCCGAGACUUCUUUUCGAUGCUUUAAGAGAGGGCACAGGAUGUGGGAGGCCCCACUUUGUCCCCAUUGGGCCACGUGGUCCCCGGGUUGGUGGGGGACAGCAGGACUUGGGGAGGGGGCUGAGGCCCCAGUUCCGCAAGGUGACCCAUAGUGUCCUCGCCAACUUCCCGAGGGCCCCACAGUCAACUGGUCACCUGAAAGGGGGGACCCUCACCCUGGGGAUGGUUCCAUCUUGGUACACUGGAGGUCCUUUGUGCCAGCAACGGUAUCCGGGCAGCAUCGGGUUCCGAGCUCCGAGCCACCGAGCGCUUGUCUUGGGGGAGGUCCCCAUCCUGCCAGCAGUGCAGGCCUCCCCCAGCGCCUCCUGCUGCGCCUGGCUCAGGUGGAACAGCCAUUGCGAUGUGUGUCCUCACGGUGGCCAGAGCGGUGGGCUUUGUCCCCAUUCUCUGCAGGAGAGGGGCGGGGCCUCCCAGCCGCCCAGCUUGAGGGACCCUUGAAGAUGGCCUUUCCACACCGGCCUGGAAACUGGCGCUGUGGUUCCGAGGACAGCCGUGGAGCGGGACGAUGAUUCUCCGGGGUUGAGCCGAGCGUUUGAGAAGUUAAGCUGUGCCGAUCUCCGAAUGUGACUCAACCGAGGGUGUACAGUGAGUCUGGCAUCGUAGGGGCCCGGAACCUGGUGACUACUGCCGUCCCCAGGGCCACACCCAGGUUCAAGCAAGAAGCGAGAUCUGUUCCAGAAAAUGGAAGGGGGCUUCUCAAAAUGAUGACACGAGAAGGACACAGCGAAUGCGGCAGAAUGUUCGACUGACCUGAGCAGCGGGCGGAAAGCCUGGAGGCCG